rnacentral:rRNA from 1 species
GUCGAGCGAACAGACGAGGAGCUUGCUCCUCUGACGUUAGCGGCGGACGGAUGAGUAACACGUGGAUAACCUACCUAUAAGACUGGGAUAACUUCGGGAAACCGGAGCUAAUACCGGAUAAUAUAUUGAACCGCAUGGUUCAAUAGUGAAAGACGGUUUUGCUGUCACUUAUAGAUGGAUCCGCGCCGCAUUAGCUAGUUGGUAAGGUAACGGCUUACCAAGGCAACGAUGCGUAGCCGACCUGAGAGGGUGAUCGGCCACACUGGAACUGAGAUACGGUCCAGACUCCUACGGGAGGCAGCAGUAGGGAAUCUUCCGCAAUGGGCGAAAGCCUGACGGAGCAACGCCGCGUGAGUGAUGAAGGUCUUCGGAUCGUAAAACUCUGUUAUUAGGGAAGAACAAAUGUGUAAGUAACUAUGCACGUCUUGACGGUACCUAAUCAGAAAGCCACGGCUAACUACGUGCCAGCAGCCGCGGUAAUACGUAGGUGGCAAGCGUUAUCCGGAAUUAUUGGGCGUAAAGCGCGCGUAGGCGGUUUUUUAAGUCUGAUGUGAAAGCCCACGGCUCAACCGUGGAGGGUCAUUGGAAACUGGAAAACUUGAGUGCAGAAGAGGAAAGUGGAAUUCCAUGUGUAGCGGUGAAAUGCGCAGAGAUAUGGAGGAACACCAGUGGCGAAGGCGACUUUCUGGUCUGUAACUGACGCUGAUGUGCGAAAGCGUG